UGGGGGAUAUUGCACAAUGGGGGAAACCCUGAUGCAGCGACGCCGCGUGGGUGAAGGAGCACUUCGGUGCGUAAAGCCCUAUCGGCAGGGAAGAAAAGGGGGAAACCCCAGACGGUACCUGACUAAGAACGCCCCGGCUAACUACGUGCC
rnacentral:rRNA from 1 species